rnacentral:rRNA from 1 species
UAGGGAAUCUUCCACAAUGGACGCAAGUCUGAUGGAGCAACGCCGCGUGAGUGAAGAAGGCUUUCGGGUCGUAAAACUCUGUUAUUGAAGAAGAACGUGUGUGACAGUAACUGGUCAUGCAGUGACGGUAUUCAAUCAGAAAGUCACGGCUAACUACGUGCCAGCAGCCGCGGUAAUACGUAGGUGGCAAGCGUUGUCCGGAUUUAUUGGGCGUAAAGCGAGUGCAGGCGGUCUUUUAAGUCUGAUGUGAAAGCCUUCGGCUUAACCGAAGAAGGGCAUCGGAAACUGGGAGACUUGAGUGCAGAAGAGGAGAGUGGAACUCCAUGUGUAGCGGUGAAAUGCGUAGAUAUAUGGAAGAACACCAGUGGCGAAGGCGGCUCUCUGGUCUGUAACUGACGCUGAGGCUCGAAAGCGUGGGUAGCAAACAGGAUUAGAUAC